rnacentral:rRNA from 1 species
GAUGAACGCUGGCGGCGUGCUUAACACAUGCAAGUCGAACGAAGCACUUUAUUUGAUUUCCUUCGGGACUGAUUAUUUUGUGACUGAGUGGCGGACGGGUGAGUAACGCGUGGGUAACCUGCCUUGUACAGGGGGAUAACAGUUGGAAACGGCUGCUAAUACCGCAUAAGCGCACAGCAUCGCAUGAUGCAGUGUGAAAAACUCCGGUGGUAUAAGAUGGACCCGCGUUGGAUUAGCUAGUUGGUGAGGUAACGGCCCACCAAGGCGACGAUCCAUAGCCGACCGGAGGGGGGGACCGGCCACAUUGGGACGGGGACACGGCCCAAACUCCUCCGGGAGGAAGCAGUGGGGAAUAUUGCACAAUGGGCGAAAGCCUGAUGCAGCGACGCCGGGUGAGCGAAGAAGUAUUGCGGUAUGUAAAGCUCUAUCAGCAGGAAAGAUAAUGCGGGUACCUGACUAAGAAGCACCGGCAAAAUACG